rnacentral:rRNA from 1 species
AGUGAACGCUGGCGGUAGGCCUAACACAUGCAAGUCGAACGGCAGCACAGUAAGAGCUUGCUCUUACGGGUGGCGAGUGGCGGACGGGUGAGGAAUACAUCGGAAUCUACUUUUUCGUGGGGGAUAACGUAGGGAAACUUACGCUAAUACCGCAUACGACCUACGGGUGAAAGCAGGGGAUCUUCGGACCUUGCGCGAUUGAAUGAGCCGAUGUCGGAUUAGCUAGUUGGCGGGGUAAAGGCCCACCAAGGCGACGAUCCGUAGCUGGUCUGAGAGGAUGAUCAGCACCACUGGAACUGAGCCCCGGCCCAGACCCCCACGGGAGGCAGCAGGGGGGAAUAUUGGAAAAUGGGCGCAAGCCUGAUCCAGCCAUACCGCGUGGGUGAAGAAAGCCUUCGGGUUGUAAAGCCCUUUUGUUGGGAAAGAAAAGCAGCAGGUUAAUACCCCGCUGUUCUGACGGUCCCCAAAGAAUAAGCACCGGCUAACUUCGU